rnacentral:snRNA from 1 species
AUCGCUUCUCGGCCUUUUGGCUAAGAUCAAGUGUAGUAUCUGUUCUUAUCAGUUUAAUAUAAUAAUAGAGUGAAUGGUGUAUACACAUAUACUGUUGAUUGAAUGUAGUUUUUGGCAGGUGUGCAUAU